rnacentral:rRNA from 1 species
UACGAAGGGGGCGAGCGUUGUUCGGAUUUACUGGGCGUAAAGGGCGCGCAGGCGGCUCAUUUUGUCAGGCGUGAAAGCCCCGGGCUUAACCUGGGAACUGCGUUUGAUACGGAUGGGCUAGAGUUCGGGAGAGGAGAGUGGAAUUCCUGGUGUAGCGGUGAAAUGCGCAGAUAUCAGGAGGAACACCGGUGGCGAAGGCGGGUCUCUGGGCCGAUACUGACGCUGAGGAGCGAAAGCGUGGGGAGCGAACAGG